GCCUCCAGGGUCUGCAUGUGAAGAGAAGACUUGACCACUGGCAGGGCCAGGCCCAGGAGGGGCAUAGCUGGAGAGGCUUCAGGCCAUAAUGAGGGACCCCACGGUGGGACGAAGGGACCUUCCCAUCAGGGAGCUGACUGGCCGUGAGGAAGAGCUGGUGGUGAAUCCAAACCUGGUGCUUUUGUGAACACUUGAGUUGUCAGAAAAGACCUUAUCUGUGAGUGUCACGGAACAGCUCAGCAGACCCUCCAACCAACAACACCGUCACUCCUGGAGGGCUUUCCCCGGCAGGUAUGGGAUUCUGAGGCUGAUUGUGGCAUGGAGGUGCGCUCACCCGGCCACUCAGGGCUUCUGGCUUCUAGUAACAUCUAUUUCACUCCACCCAGCUGCUUAACCAAUAUCCUGAUUGCCCUUAAUAAGGGAAAGUUUUAAAAAAUAAGGAUUUUUUUUUAAGAGACAGCAUGACAUGGGAAAUAGAAAAGUGUAAUCUUUCCACAGAAAGAUACUUUCUAUCUCCAAAGUCCAUGUUCUUCCCACUAUACUAUACUGCUUAUGGUCCAAAUUGUUUUCAGCAGACCCCAAUCUGUCUACACAUGAUAGGCCUUUGAGGAGCUGUUAAAAAUUAUGACUACC